GACAGAGGUGCCAAGCGUUAGGCGGAAUCACUGGGCUUAAAGCGUGUGUAGGCGGAUCGUUAAGUACCUUGUGAAAUCCCACGGCUCAACCGUGGAACUGCUGGGUAUACUGGCGAUCUUGAGCCACCUAGGGGCGAGCGGAACAAGCGGUGGAGCGGUGAAAUGCGUAGAUAUCGCUUGGAACGCCAAUGGUGAAAACAGCUCGCUGGGGGUGUGCUGACGCUGAGACACGAAGCCAGGGGAGCGAACGGG
rnacentral:rRNA from 1 species